AGCUUUGCGCAGUGGCAGUAUCGUAGCCAAUGAGGUUUAUCCGAGGCGCGAUUAUUGCUAAUUGAAUUAAGGUCCACCCUAAUGCCUCAUUUUAAUUUAAUUAUCUCUUUAAAGG
rnacentral:snRNA from 1 species